rnacentral:rRNA from 1 species
GACAGAGGGGGCAAGCGUUGCUCGGAAUCACUGGGCGUAAAGGGCGCGUAGGCGGGAUGGCAAGUCGGUCGUGAAAUCCUUCGGCUCAACCGAAGAACGUCGGCCGAUACUGCCGUUCUUGAGGGAUGCAGAGGAGAUUGGAAUUCCCGGUGUAGCGGUGAAAUGCGCAGAUAUCAGGAGGAACACCGGUGGCGAAGGCGGAUCUCUGGGCCUGAUCUGACGCUGAGGCGCGAAAGCUAGGGGAGCGAACAGG